UGCGUAGGCGGAUUAAUAAGUCAGUGGUGAAAUCUCUCGGCUCAACCGGGAAACUGCCAUUGAUACUGUUAAUCUUGAGUUCGGUUGAGGUAGGCGGAAUGUGUAAUGUAGCGGUGAAAUGCUUAGAUAUUACACGGAACACCAAUUGCGUAGGCAGCUUACUAGACCGACACUGACGCUGAGGCACGAAAGCGUGGGUAGCGAACAGGAUUAGAUACCCUGGUAGUCC
rnacentral:rRNA from 1 species